rnacentral:lncRNA from 10 species
GGGUCCAUGCUCCCCCUGCUGUGUGCAGCCUCAGGACUUGGUGCCCUGUGUCCCAGUGGCUCCAGCCAUGGCUAAAAGAGGCCAAGGUAGAGCUCAGGCCAUUGGAAAUUCAUUUUAGGGGUCUCAAGAGGGUCAUCUUUGCAACAGAGGAAAUGCCCCUUUUUCCAUUCUGAAAACCUGAUUUAUCGAACCCUUUUAUAAAAGAUGAAUACCCACAUAUAGGCCUCUAGCAGUGUUAUGUUUUUGAGAUGAGACAUUUUAAAAAGCGAUUUUUCAAUUCUAAAAAUUCUUUAAAUAAAAUGCGUCUGUCUUAUUUUGAUACUUCUUGUAUAGUUAUUAUUUAAGAAGCAACUACCCAGGCACCUUGGAGCAUGUUGAUUUCAGAGUUCAGUGUGAGACCCCGUGUGCCCCUGUGGGAUGGUGCCAGCUGACUGCCAUUUUCCUGCUGUUUAUUACUUGGGUGCCAUUCCAUGCAGAUUGGACUCUGAGGGUACUAGAGCAUAUCCAAACCCAUUGUCACAGUAUUUGUUGGUUAAUGAUGUGUUCAGGCCAUGAUUUUUCUGUAAAAAAUUACCAGCAUGCUGCUCUUAAUUUUUUUCAGCCUGUCUAGUUGUUGCCCUUUUGCUCUCAUGCAAACUUUUCCUCAGAGGUGACCCUAGAAGAUGGGACCCUUUGUGAUGGACUACCCCAAGGCAAUAUGCCCCAAAAGGUCUUCAUUUGGGGCAUAACCCGUGCCAACACAAAGGUACUUUCUCAA